rnacentral:rRNA from 2 species
CUUGACCUCAAAUCAGGC